rnacentral:lncRNA from 1 species
ACAACAACGCUGUGAGGUUGUCAUCAGAGUCCAGUGUGGUAGCGGAGUGUUACAAGGAGCCCAUGUCUAUGUUCCAGGAAUCGUGUCCACCUCCAAAUGUACCAGCCCUCACCGUUGGGAGGAUGUCUUGGCUAUCACAUUUGUCCCAUCUCAGAAGCGGCAGGAGCGGCGGCCAGAGUCAGGCCAGGAAUUCCCCAGUGACACCGGACCGUCCCCACCUCAAGCCCAGGAGAGCCGGAGAGGACUGGGACCCAGCUCAGGACAGGGCGCGAGGAGAGACGGUCCGCCACCCCGCGGGCCAGCAGGGGUCGGCGGCGCCGAGAGGUGGGCGUUCGGG